AUCGGGGUGGGAGACAGUGUCAGGUGGGCAGUUUGACUGGGGCGGUCGCCUCCUAAAGAGUAACGGAGGCGCCCAAAGGUUCCCUCAGAAUGGUUGGAAAUCAUUCGCAGAGUGUAAAGGCAUAAGGGAGCUUGACUGCGAGACCUACAAGUCGAGCAGGGACGAAAGUCGGGCUUAGUGAUCCGGUGGUUCCGCAUGGAAGGGCCAUCGCUCAACGGAUAAAAGCUACCCUGGGGAUAACAGGCUUAUCUCCCCCAAGAGUCCACAUCGACGGGGAGGUUUGGCACCUCGAUGUCGGCUCAUCGCAUCCUGGGGCUGUAGUCGGUCCCAAGGGUUGGGCUGUUCGCCCAUUAAAGCGGUACGCGAGCUGGGUUCAGAACGUCGUGAGACAGUUCGGUCCCUAUCCGUCGUGGGCGCAGGAAAUUUGAGAGGAGCUGUCCUUAGUACGAGAGGACCGGGAUGGACGCACCGCUGGUGUACCAGUUGUCUUGCCAAAGGCAUCGCUGGGUAGCUAUGUGCGGACGGGAUAAGUGCUGAAAGCAUCUAAGCAUGAAGCCCCCCUCAAGAUGAGAUUUCCCAUAGCGUCAAGCUAGUAAGAUCCCUGAAAGAUGAUCAGGUUGAUAGGUCAGAGGUGGAAGCGUGGUGACAUGUGGAGCUGACUGAUACUAAUCGAUCGAGGACUUAACCAU
rnacentral:rRNA from 1 species